GGAAAAAAGACUGUAGAGAUCAAACUUGAAGUAUACAGCUUCAAAGGCUCAGUUAUCAGGGACAUAUGAUACUAGUAUGUUUUCUUGAAGCAUACAGAUCAUUCUACAUAGACCCAGUAAUCUAAGGCUUAAUAGUAUACCGGUAUUCCGUUUACACUGUAAGUAUUCUCUAAGUUGCUACGGUGUUUAAGUAAAAUUUUAUUGUAUUUGCUCUUCAUUUUUUUUAACUUUAAAUUUUAUUGAAUUUGUUUUUUAUAUAAACAAAAUAUAAAAUGUGGUAUAAUUACAAAUGAGACAAUUCUCCACAAGAGACCAAAUGACACAAAAAUUAAACAAGCCCGGAACCCGUCAUUAAGUGGUUGUUGUGUGUUGCUGUGUUAAAUAACUGUUUUUCGUUCAUCAUUCUGUAGAUAAAUUAAGCAGUAAGUUUCCUAGUUUGAAUUGUUUUACAUUAGUCAUUUUGGGGCAUGUUAUAGCUGGUUAUGCCUUAUUGUCUUUGUUCAUUGUUGAAGGCCGUACGGUUACCAAUAGUAAUUGUUGUUAAUUACUGUGUACUUUGGUCUGUUUCGGAGAGCUGUCUCAUUGGCAAUCCUACCACAUCUUCUUUUUAUAAAAGAGGGGUGAAAGAUACCAGAGGGACAUUCAAACUCAUAGAUAAAAAAUAAAUUGACAACGCCAUGGCUAAAUACGAAAGAGACGAACAGACGACAAAUAAUAAUACACAAGCCACAACAUAGAAAGCUAAAGACUAAGCAACAUGAACCCCACCAAAAAAUGGGGGUGAUCUCAGGUGUUCUAAAUUGUGUCUGCUCUGAAAAUGUCUAAAAUUCCCGCUUAAAGAGGGGCGAAAGAUACCAGAGAUACUCAGGUGUUCCGGAAGAGUUAGCAGAUCCUUCUCCACAUGUCGCACCCGUCGUGUUGCUUAUGUGAUAACAAAUCCGGUAAAUAGUCUAAUUCGGUAUGUCACAAUCAUGAAAGGGGAGGGAAUUGUAGUUGCAACAUAAGGAACAAAUCCGAUAUCAUUGUGAAACGGUUAUUCCAAAACGGUCAACCAAAUCGUGAUGGCGUCCGUAAACUUUACGAAGGGAUGAUUGCAAGUUCACUAUUUGGAACUCUUGGUUUAAUAGCUUCCUUGUGAGCUGAAACCCUCUAUCAAGAAAAUCAUGAUAGGAAAUCAUCAUCCGAAAUGCAAGCACGGUAAUAUCGUAUGCAGGUGCUGUUGGAAUGUUGUUACUCAUCUUCGCUAGCCAAGGGUUACGAUCUACUCCCGUUCUCUUCACCCUUGGCGGAUUGAGAUAAAAUUUCGGAGACACAAGGUAAGGAUUUUUAUUGGUUGCAGUAGAAACUCGCUGCAUCCAAUCAAAAAGCGCCUAUAACAUGAUCACGUGUAAAUGUAAAAAGUGUUUGUAAACAAUUGCCACGUGUUUAUUGUGCAACAAGUCUUUGCAUCACUAAACAUACGACUAUAUUUAGUGACAACUUGAAUGUAUUUUAAUCGACUAGUAGAAGUUCCUGUAUAUGUUUCAUGUACAAAUGCAUGAAUGUUGACGUAUGUUUUCGUUUCUGGCUUUACCAAGUGUGUAGAAUCUAGACGCUACCGUGUUUUUACCUCCAAAUUGAAGAGUUUAAGUGCUACCAUUGGUCAAGAAUAAUGUAUACGGAAUGGGCGUGACUUUAAUCUUCCGAUAGAUGGCGCAUCAUUGAUAUCACAAAUGUUAGCUCAAUCCGCCAAGGGUGAAGAGAACGGAAAUGGAUCGUAACCCUUGGCUAGCGAAGAUGGUUGUUACUUAGAAAUUAAAUGUCUUAACCAGUUCAUUUUUUGUUAUUCCACUUAUUACUUUUAUUUAGUUUUAGAGAAUAUAAACUAUGAGAAACAUCGUAUUCUUUUCCAUUUUGUUGCUGUCAGUCUCUGGUCAAGGGUUUAUACCAAAGUUUCAAUCUGCAGACUAUUUCUUUGACCAAAGUAAGUGUAUUUUACAUAGUAACUCAACUUUAUUUUACAUAUGGAAUUGACACAGAUGGACGAUUUCAAACUAGAAUCUAAAUAUAAAGCGCAGAUUUAAAUUUUAAAUUGUCAACUUCUCAUUUCUCAACAGUAACAUGACCUCUUUUCCAUUGUAUUGCGUUGAGAUAUCCCAGUUAUCAGUUACGCUCGUUUGUGUUUACACUUUACAGGUUAUUACAUGUAACAGGUGCGCUCCUUAUACAUAAACUGCUCCAGCAGAUUCACGAGUAAGAACGACUGAAAACAACACUUUAUAGUAUUAACGAUCACCAUCACGAAUUGGUUGACAGACAAGAUGUGUCGGUGUCUCCACUCACAAACGUAUUGUUUGCGGUCUUAGAUCUUUGUAAUUUUACUAACUGUGAACGUUGUAUUCCCGAUGAUUCUGGUUGAGUCCAUGCGUAUUAGGAGACGCUUACCAAAAUCGACACUCCCAAAUUGCUCCAUAUGGAGUUCUUGCGAUUCCCUCAGUUUUUUGUUUGCUAUUUAAUCGAUUUACUUUACUCUUAUACAAAUUUUGCUGAACUCUAAACAUGAUUGUUGGUUUACUUUAUAAAAAAUGCUGUUUCGCUCUAUAUGAUUCGUUCUUUACUCAAAUUCAAAUGUUACUUUACACUAAUACAAAUGUUUCUCUUUUCUAAUGCAAAUAUCGUAUAUCACUAAUGCAAAUAUCGUAUAUCACUAAUGCAAAUGUUGCUUUACUCUUUUCAAGUUCUGAUUUGCUCUAUACAAUUAAUGCUUUUCUCUAUAUAAAUGUUUCUUUUAUCUAUACAUUGUUUGGUAAACUCUAUAUAUUAUUAGUCAACAAAGAAAACAGCAUAAACAAAAACAGUCAAAGGUCUUGGAUAAUAUCUAGAGCAAUCAAUAUCUUGAUAUCAAUUUUACUGUUACGUAAACAAUUUCAUCAUGGUUUAGUCAUACUAGUAUUUGUUGAUUUACGCUAUUGCGUUCUAAGAAUCGCACUAUGAAAAUAAAUUUAACGCGCCUUUGUUUGAAAUAAAUCAUGCAAUUCAUUUUUAAAUAUUGGCAAUCUAUUUAAGGUGGUACCUAACACUACAGGGAGAUAACUCUGUAAAGUCAGCUUAACGUUUUAAUUACGUUGUGUUGUAUAGGGAAUAUUAAGCUUCUUAAUGAUCAAAAUUAGUGUUUGUCAAACUGCUAUAUAACCAGUGCAUUUUUUCUGACAAAACGGUUGGUUCAAAAUUUUUGAAAUUUUUAUAUUUUGGUUAAAGGGUCAAAGUAAAUACUUUGUCAAAAUUUAAUUAAAAUUAAACGAGCCAAAUUAAUUUUAGUGAAAGUGUUAGGUACCACCUUAACAAUAAGAUUUCACUUGCUUCUGAAAUAACUUUUUUUCACGGAAUGUUAACUUGCCAUCAGCAACACAAUGACUACCACUUGCAUUUGUGGAGCAGAACAUGAUUAAAUUUCGUGCAGUUUUAGUUGUGUACUGUUCUUGUUGCUCAGUCGACACAUAGUUCGAACAUGAGAUAAUUUCCUGUUUCAGUUGAUGUUUGGUUCUUCAAUCGAUUCAUGCAUGAGUCUUCUUUUUGGUAUCUAUCCCUGUUUUCAUUCGUCCUAGUUGUAUGGCUUUACUUAAGAAGUUGUUUGUCAACCAUGUGGCGAUUCAUUGAGAUCGGUGAGCGGAGUAACACAUUUCCACAUAAUAAAAUAAAUGGAGAAUGUGUCGAUUGACACAGAUGAUGCCACAGCUUGCAAAUAGACGCUAUAGACGGACACAAAUAGAGAAUGUUAAAGUGACGCCACUCAAAUCCGCACUUGAUCUGUGUUUUAUGGUUAUAAGUUAUCUAAUUAAAAUAUAGAGCUAGGAUUUCGUAAUCUCCAUAUUGGUGAAGGGCAUAAAAACCUUGUACUAUUGUGUUUUUUGUGGUUUUCUUUGUUUUUACUCGUUUUUAAUUUCGGUCAGGUUUCUUAUGGAAAUUUAAUUUUUAUAGUAUAUACUUCUUAUUUCUGUCGUUUCACACUGUUCUCUUACUGAUUUUCUUACAUACAGUCAUGUAUUUUAAUUAUCGCAUAAAUAAUUGUCAGUUAUACUAAUUCGUUUUUGUUAUUUUCAGGAGAUUUGUAUUAUAGAAUGAUGCCUCAAUUGUUCAACUUCGGAUCCAGACCACGUGUAUCUAAUGGUACAAGUAGUUCGACGUUGACAAGACUUUACUAUGAUGGUUAAUAAGUAAAAAAAAACAUUUAUGCAAAAUUCCCAAGAAUAGCAAAAUGUGGACUAUUUUCAAAAUACCUAGUAUUUACCGGGUUUUUUUUUUCGAAGUCGAAAUUUUGACUUGAACAUCUAGAUAUUUCGACUUAAAACUCGAAAAAUAUACUCAUCUUAAAUUGCAAAUUGUUUAUUUAGUGUUGAAUCUUUAUGUGAG
rnacentral:lncRNA from 1 species